rnacentral:rRNA from 1 species
UACAGAGGUUGCAAGCGUUAAUCGGAUUUACUGGGCGUAAAGCGUGUGUAGGUGGUUAUACAAGUCGGUUGUGAAAUCCCCGGGCUUAACCUGGGAAUUGCAUUGGUGACUGCACGGCUAGAGUGUGUCAGAGGGGGGUAGAAUUCCACGUGUAGCAGUGAAAUGCGUAGAGAUGUGGAGGAAUACCGAUGGCGAAGGCAGCCCCCUGGGAUAACACUGACGCUCAUGCACGAAAGCGUGGGGAGCAAACAGG